rnacentral:rRNA from 1 species
GACGAACGCUGGCGGCGCGCUUAACACAUGCAAGUCGAACGGAAAGGCCUGCUUUCCCUUGUGGAUUGCGGGUACUCGAGUGGCUAACGGGUGAGUAACACGUGAGUUAUCUGCCCCCAACUUGGGUAUAAGCCUGGGAAACUGGGUCUAAUUCCCGAUAGGACUGCAGGGUGGUGCCUGUGGUGGAAAACGAUUUUCUAGUGGUUGGGGAUGAGCUCGCGGCCUAUCAGCUUGUUGGUGGGGUAAUGGCCUACCAAGGCGGCGACGGGUAGCCGGCCUGAGAGAGUGGACGGACGCAGUGGGACUGAGACACGGCCCAGACUCCUACGGGAAGACGCAGUGGGGAAUAAUGCACAAUGGGCGGAAGCCUGAUGCAGCGACGCAGCGUGAGGGAUGACGGCUUUCGGGUUGUAACCUUCUUUCGACAGCGAGGAAGCCACCUGGUUGGAAGGGUGGUGACGGUAGUGGUAGAAGAAGCACCGGCUAACUACGUG